rnacentral:misc_RNA from 1 species
AAUUUUGAAGGAAAUAAUGGAUUCACUGAGAGAUCCUAAUAUUAACAUCCUUGGUGUUUGUGGGAGGGGCGGGGUGGGUAAGACCACCCUAGUAAAGGAGGUCGUUAGACAAGCCCAAUUAGAGUAUCUAUUUGAUGAUGUGAUUUUUGUUACUGUAUCAGAAACGCCAAAGAUCAGAGGAAUUCAAGCGGAUGUUGCUGAAUUCUUGAGCCUUCGUCUUCAUGAGGAGGAAAUAUUCCUAAGAGCAAAUCGACUACGUGAGAGGUUGAAGAAAGAGAAGAGGAUACUUAUCAUUCUUGAUGAUAUCUGGACAACACUUCAAUUAGAGGAAGUGGGAAU